UGCACCAAAGGUUUACCAUAAGCCUUUAUCUUUUUAUUUUAGUUUUGGAUGUACUUAAAAAACAAUCCAAGAAUUAACAUUGAGAUGUAUGUUUUUUGCAGAUGAUGUAGUCAUGCUUCGAGAGUCGAGGGAGGAAUUGAAUGGGAGGUUGAGACUUGGAGACAAGCCUUAUAAGUGUAUGGCUUCCGCUUGAGUAGAAGCAAGACAGAGUAUAUGAAAUGUAAUUUCAGCAAAAAGUUAAAGAUCAUAUCAUACCGCAAGUGAAACGGUCUAAAAGUAUUUGGUUCAUAGUACAAAAUGAUGGAGAAAUAAAAACAUGAGUAAAUCGUUGCAUUCAAAUGUGGUUGAAAUGAGGAAGAGUCUCAAGUGUUUUAUGUGAUAUGAAAAUACCGCUCAAGUUGAAGGAAAAAUUAUACUGAGA
rnacentral:lncRNA from 1 species